GGUGGGGACGUCUGGCGGAACUGCCGGUGGACAAACCGGAGGAAGGUGGGGGAUGACGUCAAGUCCUCAUGGCCCUUAUGUCCAGGGCUACACACGUGCUACAAUGGUCGGUACAGAGUGACGCGAAGCCGCGAGGUGGAGCAAAUCGCAGAAAGCCGGCCUUAGUUCGGAUUGGAGUCUGAAACUCGACUCCAUGAAGGUGGAAUCGCUAGUAAUCGCGCAUCAGCAUGGCGCGGUGAAUACGUUCCCGGGCCUU
rnacentral:rRNA from 1 species